rnacentral:lncRNA from 1 species
GGAGAGACACGGUGGUGAUGCGCCGAAUGUAUUCUCCCAGCUCCGCUCGCAUCUUCAGCCUGCUGUCACCCGAGAAGGACCACAGCACUGCGUAGAUCAGGUAUUUCUGCACGACAAAGGUUAAAGGUUAGCACUUGUUUUGUGACCCUGGACAACAAAACCAGUCAUAAGGGUCAAUUUUAUGAAAUUGAGAUUUAUACAUUAUCUGAAGCUGAAUAAAUACUCUCUCCAUUGAUGUGUGGUUUGUUAGGAGGACAAUAUUUGUCUGAGAUACAACUAUUUGAAAAUCUGGAAUCUGAGGGAGCAAAAAAAUCUAAAUAUUGAGAAAAUCAUCUUUAAAGUUGUUCAAAUGAAUUCUUAGCAAUGCAUAUUACUAAUCAAAAAUUAAGUUUUGAUAUAUUUACAGUAGGAGAUUUACUAAAUAUCUUCAUGAACAUGAUCUUUACUUAAUAUCCUAAUGAUUUUUGUCAUAAAAGAGAAAUGUAUAAUUGUGACCCAUACAAUGUAUUGUUGUCUAUUGCUACAAAUAUACCUGUGCUACUUAUGACUGCUUCUGUGCUGCAGGGACACAGAUUUAGUUUACAAUCACACUACAGUCAAGGCUUAAUUUAAAUCAGAAAUAUGAUGUUGAUUAUCACAGAGGAAUAAAGGGAUCAGAGAUCGGUGUGUUGAUCAAGUAAAGGUCAGAAUAACUGCAGUUAUAUCUCCAGAUGAACUCUUACUGGACUGAAGCAGCUCAGGUUUACUUGAUUCUCCAUCAAUCAUGUUUUAGAGUCUCAAAUCUGAUCAUCAGGAUCUUUUUGAGGAGCGUUUGUUUCCAGAAGCUUUACUUUCACUGUUCCUCAGCGGAGGAAUGAUCUUCACAAGCCUCCAGAACAUCUCACAUCUUCUGAGGAGCCUUUAUUUCUUCAUCUCUCAAUCACUGCAUUAUAUGUUCGGAUCAUUUACAUCUCAUCUCACUGACACACAUCACUGCAGAUAUAGAGCGACCGCUGAUAUGAAUACUGUUUUAUGUGGAUUCUCAUGUUGUUACUCUUCAGGCGCACACUGGAGUACCUGCAGCAUUGGUGAAGCGGCCUCCUCGGCCUCGUCCUCCGUGGCCUUCCUCAUGCGCUGGGCCUCAUCCUCUCCCUCAUCCAGCGGGAUGCUCCGCAGACGCGCCAGGAAGUUGUUGAAGAUCAUGUCGGUGCUGAGAACGUCCUCGCUGAACCAGACCAUCCCGCAGCGAGACACGGUGGCCAGCGUGGCGUACUUCAGGUCCUGCACCUCAAACAUGAUGCGCACCUGUGUGACGGAAGAGCUGAGACGCUCUCCGUUGGGAAGAGUCAGGAGUUUGUUGUCGUCCAGCACAGAGUUCAGGUUCUCCACCCACUCCGGAUCCACGUCACCGUCAAAGAUGAUCCACUGCCGCUUCUGCAGCUCUCCACGGACGUUAUCGAUGAUCCUGAACGAGCACAAACACAGUAUAUGAGGAAAAAUCAAGUCACCCUUAUUUAUAUAUCGCUUUUAAUAAUACAGAUUGUGUCAAAGCAGCGUUACAGUGUUAAACAUUGUGUAAUAAUGCAAAAGCACAACAGUAAACAGCUCUUCAACGGUCAUCAUCCAGCUCAGGACUGCGUCUCCCAAAUGCAUCGAGUUGAUCGUAGCUGGGUCUACAAUGUACUUAGGCUUACGAUGCUUUCAGGAAACACAGCCCAGUUCAGUUUAAAUAGAGGACAGGCGAGGACUCACUUCCUGAGCACGUGUGUGAAGAGCCCGUCGGUCCACUCGCGUGUGUUGGGGUCCAGCGUGCCGUACAGGUGGUCUUUGCUGAUGGCUUUGGGGUCGAUGAUGUGAGCGACGCCCUCUAAACCCUCCAGCCUCUCCAGGGCUUUGAGCAGGACUCUCCAGGCCAUGGUCUUCCCGCUGCCCGACGGACCGACCAUCAUCAGCCCGUGAUUGAUCUGCGUGAUCUGAUAGAGCUGCAGCACCUGAGGAAGAGGAGGAAACGGCUCAGGACUCAUGACUCUGUGUGUGUGUGUGUGUGUGUGAAGCGUGUCUUACCUUCUCCACCCACAUGCUGCCCACGUCAUCUCCAUCUCCGUAUGUGAGGUACAUCUCAGCGCAGACCUUCUUCAGCUCCUCUCGCAGCGCCGUCAUCUCUCCGCGCAUGUACUGGACGCCGGGGAAGACGUCGGAGAGCAGGCUGAAGAGCAGAGGGAUGUCCUCGGCCACCAGCUUCGGCACCAUGGUCUCACACACGCUCUGGAUCAGAAUCUGACGGUCGAGCACAUGAAGCGCGGUCAGAGAUCACCACAAUGAUAACAAGCACUGGGUUCACUCUUCAAACUCACGUGACAGUCCACAUGACAUCAAACCACACUCUGUUUCCUUCACUCAUGAUCCUGGACUCAUCAUCAGAGACUCACCAGUGCAUCAGCUCAUAAGCGCUCAACAAAGAGAUAGUAAGAUUACAAAAAAUAAGUAAUGUAAAACAAACACCUCUGCCCGAAGCCUGAAUUUGUCACCAAACUUAACUUCAUCAUUACCCUACUGUUUACAAAAAAAGAAUUGGAUAUAUGUCCUGCUUCCAUCCACAUACAAACUGUGUAUUCAUGUUAAGCAAUUAAAACUAUACGACAAAUCUCAACUGUUUGAUUAUUUGUAUCGUUUCAAAAUGUAUAUUAUUGUUCAGCUCUAAUCUGCUACAUUCAGCUGUAAGGGAUGAAGAGAUUAUGAACAUUUUACAUAAGAAUGUUUUGAAACGAAGUGUUUUGUGAAAAGAGCAAUAGAAAUAAAUGAUUGAAGCCCUUUUAUUCUUUCUGAGACCCGUUUAACCGAUCCGCUCUGGUGCUCUUUUGAUCUGGAGACGUGUCACAUUACAGUAUUAAUACUUCGUUUAGUUUCAGGCUCGUCUCACCUCCUGCUCCGGAAGGUUCUCUGCGAUCUCGUUCUCAUCCACGUCCUCACCGCGCUCACGCUUCUCGCGCUUGAUCUUCUGGAUGCGUUCUCUCUUGACGUUCCCGGCGCUGAUCAGCACGCUCUUGAGCGCUCGCAGACCGAAGUCAUAGUGAGACUGAGACGACAGCUGCUCGUCACACAGCCUGCAAACACAGAA